UACGAGGGGGGCAAGCGUUGUUCGGAAUUAUUGGGCGUAAAGGGUGCGUAGGUGGUUCGGCAAGUCUUGUGUGAAAUCUUCAGGCUCAACUUGAAGUCUGCACAAGAAACUGCCGGGCUUGAGUAUGGGAGAGGUGAGUGGAAUUUCCGGUGUAGCGGUGAAAUGCGUAGAUAUCGGAAGGAACACCUGUGGCGAAAGCGGCUCACUGGACCAUAACUGACGAC
rnacentral:rRNA from 1 species